rnacentral:rRNA from 1 species
UACGGUGGGAGCAAGCGUUGUUCGGAUUUACUGGGCGUAAAGGGCGCGUAGGCGGUCAGUGCAAGUCAGUUGUGAAAUCUCCGGGCUUAACUCGGAACGGUCAACUGAUACUGCUCGACUAGAGUGCGGAAGGGGCAACUGGAAUUCUUGGUGUAGCGGUGAAAUGCGUAGAUAUCAAGAGGAACACCGGUGGCGAAGGCGGGUCUCUGGGCCGUUACUGACGCUGAGGAGCGAAAGCAUGGGGAGCGAACAGG